UACGGAGGGUGCGAGCGUUGUCCGGAAUCACUGGGCGUAAAGGGCGCGUAGGCGGCCUGAUAAGUAGGGGGUGAAAUCCUGCGGCUUAACCGCAGGGCUGCCUUCUAAACUGUCAGGCUAGAGCACGGUAGAGGCAGAUGGAAUUCCCGGUGUAGGGGUGAAAUUCGUAGAUAUCGGGAGGAAUACCAGUGGCGAAGGCGGCGACCUGGGCCAAUACUGACGCUGAGGUGCGAAAGCGUGGGGAGCAAACAGG
rnacentral:rRNA from 1 species